AACGUAGGAGACAAACGUUAUCCGGAGUUACUGGGCGUAAAGGGCGUGUAGGUGGUUAGGAAAGUUGGCUGUGAAAGCUCCUGGCUCAACUGGGAGAGGUCAGUCAAAACUUCCUGACUUGAGGGUCGGAGAGGGGUGUGGAAUUCCCGGUGUAGCGGUGGAAUGCUUAGAUAUCGUUUGGAACGCCAAUGGUGAAAACAGGUUGCUGGAAGUGUGCUGACGCUGAGACACGAAAGCCAGGGGAGCAAACGGG
rnacentral:rRNA from 1 species